rnacentral:rRNA from 1 species
UAGUCAUAUGCUUGUCUCAAAGAUUAAGCCAUGCAUGUCUAAGUAUAAACUGCUUAUACUGUGAAACUGCGAAUGGCUCAUUAAAUCAGUUAUAGUUUAUUUGAUGGUACCUACUACUCGGAUAACCGUAGUAAUUCUAGAGCUAAUACGUGCGUAAAUCCCGACUCCUGGAAGGGACGUAUUUAUUAGAUAAAAGGCCGACCGGACUCCGUCCGACUCGCGGUGAAUCAUGAUAACUUCACGAAUCGCAUGGCCUCGUGCUGGCGAUGUUUCAUUC